UAUUUUAGGGAACAAAUCCAGGAACUGCUAAAUGUAUUAUUAAAUCAGAUUUUUUCCUCAUUCCUGUUCGAUAUAUUUAAAGAAACAACUUCUUAUGUAUGCCAAAUUUAGAUUUUUUUUUUCUUUGGCAACUUAUGUAAUUCAGCUUCCUUCACUGGCAACUUAUGCCAAAUUUAGCAUAACAAAUACGUUCAUUCAACCAAAAGAAUUCUGGGAUAUUUCGCGGUGACCAAAGUUACGGAGGUGAAGAGAGACUGAUUCGAACAAGAAGAAUGGGUAUCUAAUAUGACUUGAUUUGUUUUAAAUGCAAGGUGGUUAUAAAGCGACGUUUUACCAUAGAAACAGUGGAGCAAAGAUGAGAUCAACACUAUAUAUGCAACAAACAGUAGCAAAUUCAGUUACGAUCGCAUAUAGACUACCAAGCUACCAACUCAUAUAGAGUGCCAAGCCUAAACCAAAUUACUGAUUGAAUGUCUGUUGGUUGGUGUUACAUUGAUGGGCCUUCAUAACGGACAUCAAGCUGCGAGGUCGUCGAUAAUUUAGCAACCUUCUCUUUUGAGAUUGUCAGUUGUGUACCAUGCCUCCGCGAGCUGUAUGACCUCUUAAUUGUUAUUAUUUCUUUGUUUUUUUUUCUUUUUUUCUUUUAUGCCUUUUCUGAUUUUGGUUACAACUGAAGUUGUAGUUAUAUAUACUCACAUGUAUAAGAAAAACAUUGAGGCUUCAUUCCUCAUAUGUAUGUGUGAUAAUUGCUGCAACAAAGAAUAAAGGUUAUAUAAUAUCAAAAUAAGGUUCCAAGACAAGUUUCAGUGAGAGUUUCUGUGUUGCUAGGUUACAUUUUAUAUUGCAAUGCAGCCUAUGUAGUGUACUUCUCGCAAUACAUGGACUGAAUGCAUUUUUUUUGUUGCGGCAUUACAGAACAGCAAAAUAAUUAUGCUCAUUGGAUGCUUUGAUUGCUUUGGUUAAUAUAGAUUAGAAAGCGUUCAUUGUAUCUAAAAUAGUCCAUCUUUAUAUGUUUUUUUACAGGAGAAACGGGGUAUUGAAGAACACCUUUUCAACUCCCUGAAAAAUAAGAUAGAUGGUUGUUCCAUUCCGAGACAUGCAUAUUUUAUGUGUCCCCGACUAUUAUGUUAUCAAAUAAAUAUUUUCUUAAAACACCAGUGUAUUGGAAGAAUGUUUUGGACAGUUAAAAAUCUCAGACCUUCUUUUGGAAGACGGUUACAUCAUUGUUGUUCUCAUUUUUGCGUAGACAGAUAAAGGCACUUUCAUUUCUGUGUUCAUAUUCUCCCGGUUUUACAUUAUUCAUUAAUGGUUUCCAUGAUGUAAUAUGUAGGCGUACUUUGAGAAAGGUGCAGGAUCGCUAAAGGUGUAGAUUUAUUUUUGUAUUCGUGUGAUUGUGUCCGUUGGUGUUGGAUUUUGGUGAAUCUGUAUUUACUGUCGAAUGUAGUCCAUCAUGCACGUGAUCUUGGUACAUCUAUAAUGUCAUCAUAUAUGAUAUGGUAAUAUCUAGAAAUAGAGUGUGGGCUGGAUGGUGCAUUAAGCGUUGUCGUGAUGGGAUAUGGUCUUGACUCCUAAAUAUAUUAGCACGGAUCAUGACAUACAGCUAUGGUGGUGUUACUGUAUAUUGAAAAGGAAAUUCUUAUGCACAGGUAUUGCACAGGAGGGUGGUAUGUGCAAUCUUACUUAUUGGGUGUUUAGCUAUCAUAAGUCAAAUUUUAGAGUUGAUCAGCAGUCACGUCUGUAAUCCCUAGCGAGAUCCUAACCCUCACUAAGUGGAAUGGUUUGAAGCAUAUGCGUUUUGCACUUCUAACCUGGAUUUCCCUUUUUUAACUCAAAUUUUAACUAACUACAGCUCAACUGAAGUUGAAUGCAUGAAUUACUUAUUAGGUUGUCCUUUUUAACUUAAAAUUGCCCAGUGGAAAUUUAGUAUUUGAGACUUUUGGUUUGGUUUUCUGUUGAAACCAUUUUUUCUUACUUGAGUUUUCAAAAAUGUAGGCUUUUCAUUUUUCUUACUUCAGUUUGUAUAAAUAUAAGUAGCGAACAAUCUGGGAAAGACUUCGACUGCUGGAAAGCUGACGAUUAGAGGACUUCAGAACAGCACAUGCUACUGUGAAUCAAGGAUUGUUGAACUGCUGGAAAACGAAGAUUGGUAUUAUAUAGAUUGCAAAACUUGCAACAAGAGGGUAGAAUAAUUGCCUUGAUAAUUCCUUAAUUUGUCGCCUUUGGUAAUUAAGCUUAUAUUGUGUACGGUUGGAGGACUUAGUUGUGAACCCAAUUUUCUAUAUUAUGACUUUAUAGCAAGGCUUAAAUUAAGGUCAUUAGUGUCGGUUGGACUAUUGGGUUUUCAGGUUCAGUUACAGUCGUAUAUAGAAUACCAACCUAUCACACUCUCACUUUCAAUGGGUGGGGAGGAAAAUCAGAAAGAAAAAAUGGGGAUCCCGUGCAAAAAGGUUUGCAAGAUUAACCAAUCUACUUCUAUAUAUUAACAAUUAUUUUUUUAUUGGAGUUUUUGUAGGCUCAAUGUUUUUAUAUAGGGUGUUCGAGCAAAGCCAAACCCCGUUGCAUUGCACUGGUGCAGAUUGGGCAGGAUGUGUAGAAGACAGAAAAAGCACUUCGGGGGGAUUUUACUAUUUGGGUUAAAUCUUGUGGCUUGGCAUAGAAAGAAACAAAAUUCACAAUCCCUGUCUACAUGCGAAGCAGAAUACAUUGCCGCAGGUUCGUGUUGUACUCAACUUCUAUGGAUGAAAUAAAUGCUUGCUGAUUAUGGAAUUGACACUGGCAUAAUGAAGAUCUUUUGUGAUAACUCAAGUACGAUUCGCAUCACUGAGAAUCAUGUUGAGCACUCAAGAACUAAGCACAUUGAUAUAAGGAAUCAUUUUAUUAGAGAUCUCUAUGAAAAUGGUAUCAUCAAUAUGGAAUUUGUGCCUUCAGAACAACAAUUGACUAAUAUCCUCACCAAACCUUUAGACACUGCUACGUUUUAACAUUUACGACAGUCUAUAGGUGUUGUAUUGGUUCAUUAGUUCUCUAGCCUUUUUCCUCUGGACUCAUACAUAUCUUUUGGACAAUCAAGGCUUAGAACACCAGUGUAGUGUUGCUUCAAUUUCGUAUUUGUUUCUACAUAGAUAACAAUUCUGUUCAGUAUCAAAGUAUUCCUUUAAAAUCCUUCUUUUCUUGUGAAAGUAAGGUUCCUCUUGUUGUUCUUUCGAGAAUGACAUUUUAUGGGGGAGAGUUCUUAUUUGAACUUGUGCUUAAUUGCCAUAUCUUUGUGGG